rnacentral:lncRNA from 1 species
CCACGCCCCCCACCAAGGAUAUAGCCCACCCGUUUUUUGGCCAUUUUUCCGCUGGGGGGUCUUGGGACCCCGACCUUCGGGGGCUGAUUUUUGGGCGCGGCUGUGCCCGUGGCCUAUUUUUGGCACACGGAGGCCGCCCGCCAAGUCUGGGGCCAUUCCGAGUCCCGCGGACGAACUUCGCCCACGCCCCCCACCAAGGCUAUAGCCCACCCGUUUUUUGGCCAUUGUUCCGCUGCGGGGUCUUUGGACCCCGACCUUCGGGGGCUGAUUUUUGGGCGCGGCUAUGCCCGUGGCCUAUUUUUGGCACACGGUGGCCGCCCGCCAAGUCUGGUGCCAUUCCGAGUCCGGCGGACGAACUUCGCCCACGCCCCCAACCAAGGCUAUAGCCCACCCGUUUUUUGGCCAAUUUUCCGCUGGGGGGUCUUGGGACCCUGACCUUCGGGGGCUGAUUUUUGGGCGCGGCUUUGCCCGUGGCCUAUUUUUGGCACAGGGAGGCCGCCCGCGAAGUCUGGGGCCAUUCCGAGUCCGGCGGACAAACUUCGCCCACGCCCCCCACCAAGGCUAUAGCCCACC